GAUCUCUAUGACCUCUAUGGUUCCUUAGAGUACACUUUGAGAACUAUUGAUAUAAAGGAAAAAAUGCUCUUAGUGUUCCACUUUAGCACAGAAUAAAAUCUGGACUGUGUCUGUUUGUGAGGAUUUUAUGCCUACUUGGUCAUCAGCCAACAAGGGAUUCCAAAGAUAGAAGAGGAAGCACCAACACCAUGAACAUCAUGGUCAGGUUAUUUUGUGAGAAGAAUAAGGCUAAAGUAAAAACCUUGGAUUUGUCUUUGUCCUUGUACAUGCUAUCUGGAAAGAGUUUUCUUAAAAGUAUUGUUGUGAACCCAUCAGUUUCCCCAGUAUAAUUGAAUGCAGGGUUUAAUGAAUAAAAUGAAUCUAGUUUUA